rnacentral:rRNA from 1 species
AUUGAACGCUGGCGGCAGGCCUAACACAUGCAAGUCGAGCGGAUGAAGGGAGCUUGCUCCUGGAUUCAGCGGCGGACGGGUGAGUAAUGCCUAGGAAUCUGCCUGGUAGUGGGGGAUAACGUCCGGAAACGGGCGCUAAUACCGCAUACGUCCUGAGGGAGAAAGUGGGGGAUCUUCGGACCUCACGCUAUCAGAUGAGCCUAGGUCGGAUUAGCUAGUUGGUGGGGUAAAGGCCUACCAAGGCGACGAUCCGUAACUGGUCUGAGAGGAUGAUCAGUCACACUGGAACUGAGACACGGUCCAGACUCCUACGGGAGGCAGCAGUGGGGAAUACUGGACAAUGGGCGAAAGCCUGAUCCAGCCAUGCCGCGUGUGUGAAGAAGGUCUUCGGAUUGUAAAGCACUUUAAGUUGGGAGGAAGGGCAGUAAGUUAAUACCUUGCUGUUUUGACGUUACCAACAGAAUAAGCACCGGCUAACUUCGCG